rnacentral:rRNA from 2 species
AAGUGUAACAAGGUUUCCGUAGGUGAACCUGCGGAAGGAUCAUUAC